AACUCUCUACAGCCUAAAAAAAAAAACCAACUUCACAAGCACAGCUCAUUUGGAUUUAUGCAGACAUAUGAAAAUUUUGUAUUGCAGAGCUACCUUCUGAUUUCUUCUCCACACUCCAUAGAUACUGAAGAGUCAAGAUUAAUGGCGCUCUAACCUUCUCAAAGCACCCAAGUUCUGGCAGUGCUCCACUCAACCCCACCCCUCCUGCUGAUAUCCUUCUGGCAGAAGCAAGGGGUGGCCGAGAGCCUUCAAAACAGUUCCCCACAACUUUUUCACAGCUUCUAUUACCUCUUCUGAAUGCAUCUGGAAAGGUACAGAUGAAGAGAGAAUACCUCCACAAGUCUACUGGAUCUAGAUGGCAUAAUUACAGAAGAGUAAGAGGAUGAGUCCCAGACCUGAACAACUGGUAAAUAUUUCAGAUACCAAUAUCAACUUCUUAGCCAGGCAACAGGGAAAGGAGCAAAAUAGGAUUUCUCAAGCAACCAGAUGUUCCACAAAGCACUGAGAGGUAGGCAGAUGUUUGCUACAUUAAACUUGCCUCUAAGAAAACAAUGGGAGAACAUUUUAAAAUUCUUAUGCAAAUUUCACUCAUUCAACUCUUUCUCAGAGGCCUGGGGACAAUGAAAAAAAUAAAAAGGAAGAUAAUUCACAUGCUCAUCUCAAUAUGGUACUCAUCA